GGACGAUGAGGAUAACAAUUUGGUUCGCUCGUCGUGCGUAAUGGCAAAAUUGCCUUGCCGAUACCAUUCAAUAUUUCUGAGUCC
rnacentral:snoRNA from 1 species